GUAUGGUCCGGAAAGACGACGAUUAAUACUAAUGGUGAGGUGGGACCAUUCUUUACGUCCUCGGCGGGGGUGAAGCAAGGGAACCUGAUCUCCCCUCUUCUAUUCAACCUCGUUGUUGAUGCGCUAGCGGGAAUCUUGGAUAAAGCUAGGAUGACGGGACACCUAUCGGGGGUAGUUGGCCACCUAAUCCCGGGAGGAGGCGUCACACACCUCCAAUAUGCCGACGAUACCAUGUUCGUGGUG
rnacentral:rRNA from 1 species